rnacentral:rRNA from 1 species
AAAAGGUACUCAAGGGCACAGUAGUGGAUGCCUAGACGAAUAUUACCGACGAAGGACGUGGAAGACUGCGAUAAGUCUCGGGGAGCUGUCAUCAAGCUUUGAUCCGGGAAUGUCCGAAUGGGGAAACCCGGCAUGGUUCAUACCAUGUCACCUGCACCUGAAUAUAUAGGGUGUUUGGCGGGAACUGACUGAACUGAAACAUCUUAGUAGGUCAAGGAAAAGAAAGUAAAUAACGAUGGCGGGAGUAGUGGCGAGCGAAACCGUUAGAGCCCAAACCUUACAAGUUUUUGCCUGUUUACAGGUAGAUACGGCUGAUAGGCCAAUGCUUAUAAGGGGUUGUGAUAUUACACAAGACCAAGUCAGAGAACUGGAAUUCGUUCCAGGUAUCUGAUUUGCGACCAGCAGCUAUCACUGACUGGAUAAGGUAAAAAAUCGACGUUGCUAGCAGAAUAGUUUGAAUGACUAGCCAAAGGGCGUGAAAGCCGUGUACGCGAAAGCGACGUUGACCUUAUAUGUGUUUUAUCGAGUAGGGCGGGGCACGAGAAACCCUGUCUGAAUCCGGCUGGACCACCAGCCAAGGCUAAAUAUAAUAUUCGAUCGAUAGUGAACUAGUACAGCGAUGGAAAGGUGAAAAGAACCCCGGGAGGGGAGUGAAAUAGAUCCUGAAACUCUGUGCCUACAAUAGAGUCGGAGCCCUUCGGGGUGACGGCGUGCUUUUUGUAGAACGAUCCAGCGAGUUAAUUUCUAGUGCAAGGUUAAGUCAAGUGACGGAGCCACAGUGAAAGCGAGCCUGAAUAGGGCGAAUUAGUACUAGGGAUUAGACCCGAAACCGGGUGACCUAACCAUGGGCAGGCUGAAGCUACUGUAACAGGUAGUGAAGGGCCGAACCGUCGUACGCAGCAAAGUGCUCGGAUGACCUGUGGUUAGAGGUGAAAUGCCAAUCGAACUCGGAGAUAGCUGGUUCUCCUCGAAAUAGCUUUAGGGCUAGCGUCAAUUAAAUUAGCCAACGGGGGUAGAGCUCUGUAAAGGACUGGGGGGAGCAAUCCUACCCACCCUUAACAAACUACGAAUACCGUUGGUGGUACAUUGGCAGUUAGAACGUCGGGGCUAAGCUCGGCGCUCGAAAGGGAAACAGCCCAGACCAUCGUCUAAGGUCCCUAAAUAUAUACUCAGUGGGAAACAAGGUGAGAUUUCUUAAACAGCUAGGAUGUUGGCUUAGAAGCAGCCAUUCAUUUAAAGAGUGCGUAACAGCUCACUAGUCAAGAGAUCUUGCGUGGAAAAUGUAACGGGGCUAAAGUAUAUUACCGAAGACAUGGACUACGUAGUAAUACGUAUGUGGUAGAGGAGCGUUCCUAUCUGCAGUGAAGCUGGACUGGAAAGUACAGUGGAGCGUUAGGAAGUGAGAAUGCUGGAAUGAGUAACCAUAAGAUAGGUGAGAAUCCUGUCGGCCGUAAGAGCAAGGUUUCCUGAGCCAUGUUAAUCAUCUCAGGGUUAGUCGGGCCUAAGCCGAGGCGCAUAGCGUAGGCGAUGGACAUCAGGUUAAUAUUCCUGAACCGGUUAUAAUUUGCACACUGUUCACGGUGAGAUACUCGGAGCGGAUUAAUGGUUUAUCCGUCCAACCUAGCGGGAACGCAUAGGGAGUGAGAGUUACCCUUCGGGGUGACGAUUCUGGGGAAGGCACUGGCUAGAAAAGCAGGUGUGCGCGUGGUUAUAGCCGCCCGUACCGCAAACCAACACAGGUGCUCGAGUCGAGUAGACUCAGGCUUACGAGAGACCCUUCGCUAAGGAACUCGGCAAUACAGCGACCGUAACUUCGGGAUAAGGUCUGCCCCCACUUCGGUGGAUAUGAGCCGCGUUCACUCAGCAAGAGUAUUGAACGAAACAAGGUUAAACGCGACAAGUAACGAUGUCGCAUGAGUACGCCUGCAUUCAUUUCGAUGAAUGAUAGGUCGAAAAAUCCUUUUUUAUGAACCAAUAGAUUUUUUCUGAGAUAAGUAACAAAUCAUGAUUGAUUUAGUUCUUUUGAACGCGUAUACCUUCGUAUCUAACGAUGUGGGGGCCGCAGCAAAAGAGCCCACGGAACUGUUUACCAAAAACACAGGUCUCUGCUAACACGAAAGUGGAUGUAUAGGGGCUGACUCCUGCCCAGUGCUGGAAGGUUAAGGGGAGUGCUUCACGGUGCGAACUGAAGCCCCAGUGAACGGCGGCGGUAACUAUAACCGUCCUAAGGUAGCGAAAUUCCUUGUCAGGUAAGUUCUGACCCGCACGAAUGGAGUAAUCAUGUGGGCACUGUCUCAGCGAAGGCCUCGGUGAAAGUGCAUUGGCGGUAAAGAUGCCGUCUGUCCAUACCAGGACGAGAAGACCCCAUGGAGCUUUACUACAGCUUUACAUUGAUCCGGGUUACAACAUGUGUAGCAUAGCUGGGAGGCUUUGAAGCAGAUACGCCAGUAUUUGUGGAGCCAAAGGUGAAAUACCAGCCUUGUUGUGAUCUUGAUCUCACUGUGACCAUUAUCUGGUUACAGGACCGUGUAUGGUGGGUAGUUUAACUGGGGCGGUUGCCUCCUAAAGAGUAGCGGAGGCGUUCAAAGGUUGGCUAACUUCGGAUGGAAAUCGAAGUGAUAGUGUAUGCGCAUAAGCCAGCUUGACUGUGAGGAGUACAUUCCAAUCAGACACGAAAGUGGGAGCAAGUGACCCGCUAUACGUACAUUUGUACAUGAAUGUGGGAUCGAUAGCGCAAACGGAUAAAAGUUACCCUGGGGAUAACAGGCUUAUAGCGCCCAAUAGUUCACAUAGACGGCGCUGUUUGGCACCUCGAUGUCGGCUCAUCACAUCCUGGAGGGGGAGCACCUUCCAAGGGUUCGGCUGUUCGCCGAUUAAAGUGGUACGCGAGCUGGGUUCAGAACGUCGUGAGACAGUUCGGUUUAUAUCCGGUAUGGACGUCAGGAAAUUUGAGAGGAUCUGCCCCUAGUACGAGAGGACCGGGGUGGACGAACCUCUGGUGUAUCGAUUGUGGCCACCUGCUGCAUUGUCGAGUAGCUACGUUCGGACUAGAUAAGCGCUGAAAGCAUAUUAAGCGCGAAACUAACCUCAAGAUUAGAUUUCCCUAUGAGGACACAGAAAGAUGAUCUGUUUGAUAGGCGCAAGGUGGAAGUACAGCAAUGUAUGGAGCUGAAGCGUACUAAUAGUCCCAUUGCCUUUUUAUG